rnacentral:rRNA from 1 species
AGACCCGAAACCCGGUGAUCUAGCCAUGGGCAGGUUGAAGGUUGGGUAACACUAACUGGAGGACCGAACCGACUAAUGUUGAAAAAUUAGCGGAUGACCUGUGGCUGGGGGUGAAAGGCCAAUCAAACCGGGAGAUAGCUGGUUCUCCCCGAAAGCUAUUUAGGUAGCGCCUCGUGAAUUCAUCUCCGGGGGUAGAGCACUGUUUCGGCUAGGGGGCCAUCCCGGCUUACCAACCCGAUGCAAACUGCGAAUACCGGAGAAUGUUAUCACGGGAGACACACGGCGGGUGCUAACGUCCGUCGUGAAGAGGGAAACAACCCAGACCGCCAGCUAAGGUCCCAAAGUCAUGGUUAAGUGGGAAACGAUGUGGGAAGGCCCAGACAGCCAGGAUGUUGGCUUAGAAGCAGCCAUCAUUUAAAGAAAGCGUAAUAGCUCACUGGUCGAGUCGGCCUGCGCGGAAGAUGUAACGGGGCUAAACCAUGCACCGAAGCUGCGGCAGCGAACGUAUCACCCAAGACAACUUUACGGAGUUGACGAUUGACGGAGCGAAGCGACGUCAAAGCGUUCAUUAAAGUCGAGUUGGCUUAGGGAUACGUUCGUUGGGUAGGGGAGCGUUCUGUAAGCCUGUGAAGGUGUGUCGUGAGGCAUGCUGGAGGUAUCAGAAGUGCGAAUGCUGACAUAAGUAACGAUAAAGCGGGUGAAAAGCCCGCUCGCCGGAAGACCAAGGGUUCCUGUCCAACGUUAAUCGGGGCAGGGUGAGUCGACCCCUAAGGCGAGGCCGAAAGGCGUAGUCGAUGGGAAACGGGUUAAUAUUCCCGUACUUGGUGUUACUGCGAAGGGGGGACGGAGAAGGCUAUGUUGGCCGGGCGACGGUUGUCCCGGUUUAAGCGUGUAGGUGUGUGUUCCAGGUAAAUCCGGUUCACUUUAACACUGAGGCGUGACGACGAGGCACUACGGUGCUGAAGCAACAAAUGCCCUGCUUCCAGGAAAAGCCUCUAAGCAUCAGGUAACAUCAAAUCGUACCCCAAACCGACACAGGUGGUCAGGUAGAGAAUACCAAGGCGCUUGAGAGAACUCGGGUGAAGGAACUAGGCAAAAUGGUGCCGUAACUUCGGGAGAAGGCACGCUGACACGUAGGUGAAGUGAUUUACUCAUGGAGCUGAAGUCAGUCGAAGAUACCAGCUGGCUGCAACUGUUUAUUAAAAACACAGCACUGUGCAAACACGAAAGUGGACGUAUACGGUGUGACGCCUGCCCGGUGCCGGAAGGUUAAUUGAUGGGGUCAGCGCAAGCGAAGCUCCUGAUCGAAGCCCCGGUAAACGGCGGCCGUAACUAUAACGGUCCUAAGGUAGCGAAAUUCCUUGUCGGGUAAGUUCCGACCUGCACGAAUGGCGUAAUGAUGGCCAGGCUGUCUCCACCCGAGACUCAGUGAAAUUGAACUCGCUGUGAAGAUGCAGUGUACCCGCGGCAAGACGGAAAGACCCCGUGAACCUUUACUAUAGCUUGACACUGAACAUUGAGCCUUGAUGUGUAGGAUAGGUGGGAGGCUUUGAAGUGUGGACGCCAGUCUGCAUGGAGCCGACCUUGAAAUACCACCCUUUAAUGUUUGAUGUUCUAACGUGGACCCGUAAUCCGGGUUGCGGACAGUGUCUGGUGGGUAGUUUGACUGGGGCGGUCUCCUCCUAAAGAGUAACGGAGGAGCACGAAGGUUGGCUAAUCCUGGUCGGACAUCAGGAGGUUAGUGCAAUGGCAUAAGCCAGCUUGACUGCGAGCGUGACGGCGCGAGCAGGUGCGAAAGCAGGUCAUAGUGAUCCGGUGGUUCUGAAUGGAAGGGCCAUCGCUCAACGGAUAAAAGGUACUCCGGGGAUAACAGGCUGAUACCGCCCAAGAGUUCAUAUCGACGGCGGUGUUUGGCACCUCGAUGUCGGCUCAUCACAUCCUGGGGCUGAAGUAGGUCCCAAGGGUAUGGCUGUUCGCCAUUUAAAGUGGUACGCGAGCUGGGUUUAGAACGUCGUGAGACAGUUCGGUCCCUAUCUGCCGUGGGCGCUGGAGAACUGAGGGG